CUCCUGAGUGGAUCCUGAUUACGGCGGAACACGUGAAAUUCCGUCGGAAUCCGGGAGGACCAUCUCCCAAGGCUAAAUACUCCCUAGUGACCGAUAGUGAACCAGUACCGUGAGGGAAAGGUGAAAAGCACCCCGGAAGGGGAGUGAAAGAGAUCCUGAAACCGUGUGCCUACAAGUAGUCAGAGCCCGUUAACGGGUGAUGGCGUGCCUUUUGUAGAAUGAACCGGCGAGUUACGAUCCCGUGCAAGGUUAAGUUUGAAAAGACGGAGCCGCAGCGAAAGCGAGUCUGAAUAGGGCGCAUGAGUACGUGGUCGUAGACCCGAAACCAGGUGAUCUACCCAUGUCCAGGGUGAAGUUCAGGUAACACUGAAUGGAGGCCCGAACCCACGCACGUUGAAAAGUGCGGGGAUGAGGUGUGGGCAGGGGCGAAAUGCCAAUCGAACCUGGAGAUAGCUGGU
rnacentral:rRNA from 1 species